UAACUCUUUUACACGUCAAUCUCUCAAAUAACUAGAUGAGGCCGGCAUUUCCUAUCCGACUACUCUGAGAAGAAAUGCUGAAACAAACUCAGAGGUCAUAGUCUCUUUUAAAGUCCAGACAAUGAAAUAGAGGAUAAUGUGAGAGAACCGUGCAAGUUGAUUCUGUAGUGGUCUUUAGAGGAAAGAACCACAACAGUAUGAGCGGACCUGUUCAGAUGGCAGCACGCAUGUGUCAGUUUACAAUCAGCUCAGCUACGGCUGUUGCUGAAUGAUCCGACGAACAAUACCAACCAAAAGAACAUUUGGGUAGGUCUCGUAAAUGCUCACACUGUCAGAAUAUAAUUAACUAAAAGUGAAAUGACUAGGCAAACUCUCGCACGGUCCUCAAACUAAUAAUAAUUAUUGUAUAACAGCUCCUAUUGACCGUAGCGUGAUGUUUUAGCCUAUAGCCUUCCUCGAUAAAUGAGCUAUCCAACACAAAAAGAAUUAUUCAAAUAGGACCAGUAGUUCCGGAGAUUAGCGCGUGGAAAUGUAACAAUCAAACUUGCAUUUAACUAAAAAUCACGGUUUACUCGGGACUCUUCAUCAUGAGCAGAAGCGGCCACGUCGCGCAGCCUUCUGAUGCUGUAGAAGUCCCUCUGUGACUCGAAACUAGUAGAGCUUUUCUCUAUUAAAGUAUGUGAGUAAACCGUGAUUUUUAGUUAAUUUACUAUGUCUCACGAUAGUUAUUACAAAACUUGCAUUUAUUAUUUUAUACUACCUAACUUAAUAAAUAAAAUGUCGAUCGAUCGGAAUUGGAUUCAAGAGUAAGCCCCCAAGCUUAUAAUUUCUAAUUAUAAGUUUGAAAUCGCCAACCCGCAUUGAGCAAGCGUGGUGAUUAAUGCUCAAACCUUCUCCGUGUGAGAAGAGGCCUUUGGUUAGCAGUGGACACUUAUAGGCUGUUGAUGAUACAAUUAAAUUUUUAUAUAAUGCAGCUUUGCCUACCCCUUUAAGGAUUAUAAGGCGUGAUGUUAUUUAAUUAUUGUCUCUUUUACGCUUGAAACGCUUUUAUUGUUAGUUUAUUAUAUAUUGACAGCCAAAUUCAAUAACCUAUAUGCCAACGGCUUCGCCCGCAUUUCAUGGGAUGAAAAAUAUGUUGGGGGGGGGAUGAUCAUCCAAUUACUUCUCCCGCCUUGGGUGAGGCGGGAGGGAGUGACAGACUCUUACUGACUAAAAACCACCCCGUUCCUUCUGCUUUGAGCCGGAGCCUCGGUAACCUUUAAAAAUAUGCUUAGGCUGCUUUUCCUUAAUCUGAAGCUGCGGACUACCUAGCGGGUUUACCGGGGCUCCGGCUCGACAAGCAGGAGUAGGAACGGGGUGGUUUUUGGUCAGAAAGAGUCUGUCACUCUCUCUCGCCUUGCCCUGGCGAGAGAAAUAAUAGGAUGAUUUUCCCCUCUAAAAAAAAAGGUGCUUUUCCGCCAGACAUGUGCUAUGCUACGUUACUGUGGAUGCAGUUAGCUUCCACCAAUCAUAUUCGUUGGUACAUAUUAUAGCUUAACACUGGUGGAAACAGGCCUAGCUACGCUAUGUUUUUUUAUACGGAAAGAUGCGAGCUAUAGAUACGUGUUAUGGAUGGCUUCCCUACUAUCGAUACAUCGCAUACUCGAGUUGCACAUCUUCCUCACACAUUUACAAACUUUGAAACAACUUUGUAUGACAGAUAGGUUGUUGAAAUUGGCUGUUCAUGUUAUUUUUAAACGUUUUUAGGUGUAUACAAUUUACUAUAUUAUUAUAUUAAUUCAUUAAUAAAUAAUUUAUUUUUUA